rfam:Erythranthe guttata cultivar DTN x IM62 scaffold_74_contig_38, whole genome shotgun sequence.
CAGGGAGCGCGUUUUCUGACUGAGAGCUCUUUCUAGAUUCUAUGGGUGGUGGUGCAUGGCCGUUCUUACUUGGUAGAGCGAUUUGUCUGGUUAAUUCCGUUAACGAACGAGACCUCAGCCUGCUAACUAGCUAUGCGGAGGUAUCCCUUCGUGGCCAGCUUCUUAGAGGGACUACGGCCUUUUAGGCCGCGGAAGAUUGAGGCCAUAACAAGUCUGUGAUGCCCUUAGAU